GGGGGGGAACCCAGGAGUUCAGGAGGGACCCAGGAGUUCGGGAGGGACCCAGGAGUUCGGGAGGGACCCAGGAGUUCGGGCACCCGCGGCGCUGGAAUCCGCCCCUCCCCCCCCCGCCCCCCCCGCGCCCGCAGCCGGUGACACUUUAACCAAAAAAGCCGCUUUUCGCCUCAUUUCCCGGGACCAGGAGGGGCCAGCGGAGGUGUCCCCGCGAUGGCGUUCGGCUCCGUCCUGUCCCGUGUCGGUGGCCUCGGCCGCUUCCAGCUGCUCCAGACGUCCCUGCUCUCCGUCCCCAUCCUGCUCAUGGCCGCGCACAACCUGCUGCAGAACUUCAGCGCCGCCGUGCCCCCGCACCGCUGCCGCGUCCCCAGUGCCACCCCCCGUGUCCCCAGUGCCACCCCCACUAUCCCCAGUGUCACCCCCGGUAUCCUCAGUGCCACCCCCCGUGUCCCCAGUGCCAUCCCCGGGGUCCCCAGUGUCCCCACUGCCACCCCCACUAUCCCCAGUGUCACCCCCACUAUCCCCAGUGUCACCCCCAUUGUCCCCAGUGCCACCCCCGGUAUCCUCAGUGCCACCCCCAGUAUCCCCAGUGCCACCUUUGGUAUCCCCAGUGCCACCCCCAUUGUCCCCAGCAUCACCCCCAUUGUCCCCAGUGCCACCCUUGGGGUCCCCAGUGCCAACCCCGGUGUCCCCAGUGCCACCCCCAGUGUCCCCAGUGCCACCCUUGGUAUCCCUGGUCCCACCCCCAGUAUCCCCAGUGCCACCCCCAUUGUCCCCAGUGCCACCCCCGGUGUCCCCAAUGCCACCCUUGGGGUCCCCAGUGCCAUCCCUGGUGUCCCCAGUGUCACCCCAGAGCCACCCGGCCCCAUCUCUGGUGGCACUUCGGGGGCUCCUGGUGGCAUCUCAGCAGCUUCCGGCAGCACCUUGGGGACACCUGGUGACACCUCGGGGUCCCCCGAUGGCACCCUGGUGUCCCCCAAUGCCACCCUGGGCUCCUGUCACCUCUACGUGUCCCCCAGCAAUGGCAGCGGUGGCCCCGCGGCCACCGAACCGUGUCCCCACGGGUGGGACUACGACCGCAGCGUCUACGUGGCCACGAUCGUCACCGAGUGGGACCUGGUGUGCGGGUACCGGCAGCUGCGCCAGAUGGCCCAGUCCAUCUACAUGGCCGGAGUCCUGGUGGGCGCGCUGGUCCUGGGGGGCCUGUCCGACAGGUUCGGGCGCAAGGCGCUGCUGCUCUGGUCCUACCUGCAGCUGGGGGUGAUGGGCACCUGCACGGCCUUCGCGCCCAACUACGCGUCCUACUGCGCCUUCCGCUUCGCCGGCGGGAUGGCGCUGUCGGGCUUCGGGCUCAGCAUCGCCUGCCUGGUGGUGGAGUGGAUCCCCACCCCCUACCGCGCCGUCACCGUGGCCAUCACCGGCUUCUCCUACACGCUGGGCCAGAUCCUGCUGGCCGGGAUCGCCUACGCCGUCCCCCAUUGGCGCUGGCUGCAGCUCACCGUGUCCCUGCCCUUCUUCGCCUUCUUCUGCUGCUCCUGGUGGUUGGCUGAGUCGGCACGGUGGUUGGUCCUGUCUGGGAAGGCUGAGAAGGCCGUGAAGGUCCUUCAACGCGUGGCCAAGAUCAACAGGAAGAAGGAGGAAGGGGAGAAGAUCACGGUGGAGAUCCUCAGGUCCAGCAUGAAAGAGGAGCUGGCGGCGCUCAAGUCGUCGUACACCGUGUCCGACCUGGUCCGGACCCCCGUGAUCCGGCACAUCUUCUUCUGCCUCUCCAUCGUCUGGUUCUCCAUCAGUUUCUCCUACUAUGGCCUGGCCAUGGAUCUCCAGAACUUCGGCGUCAGCAUUUACCUCAUCCAGGUGAUUUUCGGCGCCGUGGACGUCCCGGCCAAGCUGGUGGUGACCGUGUCCGUCAGCUACGUGGGCCGGCGCGUGUCGCUCAUGGUCGCGCUCUUCCUGGCGGGGUUGGUCAUCAUCGCCAACAUCUUCGUCUCCACAGAGCUGCAGACGCUGCGCACGGCCCUGGCCGUCAUCGGGAAGGGUUGUCUCUCCGCCUCCUUCAACUGCGUCUUCCUCUACACCACCGAGCUCUACCCGACCCCCAUCAGACGGGCUUGGGCUUCGGCAGCACCAUGGCGCGCGUGGGCGGCAUCGUGGCGCCGCUGGUGAAGAUGACGGAGGAGUAUUACCCGUUCCUGCCGCCCGCCGUCUAUGGGGUGGCCCCCGUGGUGGCCACCGUGGCCGCCGGCUUCCUGCCCGAGACGCUCAACAUGCCGCUGCCCGACACCAUCGAGGAGGUGGAGAGCAGGGCCAGGCGGAAGCCACCGGAGGAGCCCAAGGAGAAGAUCCCGCUCCAGCCCCAGGACCCCUGACGGACCCGGGGGACACAAGGGACACGGGACCUGUCCCCAUGGCCGGUGACACCGCGGGACGCGUCCUGGGCAAUAAAGCAGCUCUGGUGGGGACAA